rnacentral:rRNA from 1 species
UACCAGCACCCCGAGUGGUCGGGACGAUUAUUGGGCCUAAAGCAUCCGUAGCCGGUCCUACAAGUCUUCUGUUAAAUCCACCUGCUUAACAGAUGGGCUGCGGAGGAUACUAUAAGACUAGGAGGCAGGAGAGGCAAGCGGUACUCAGUGGGUAGGGGUAAAAUCCGUUGAUCCAUUGAAGACCACCAGUGGCGAAGGCGGCUUGCCAGAAUGCGCUCGACGGUGAGGGAUGAAAGCUGGGGGAGCAAACCGGG